UACGAAAAGAAGAUAUUCUGUCUCCUUGGA
rnacentral:piRNA from 1 species